rnacentral:snoRNA from 21 species
AUGCGACGACUCCAAGAACGUCUUUUGCCUUGACCGGGGCGUUCUCAGGAGGGGGGCUUUCUAGUCCUUGGUAGUUGCUAGAAUGAAUGCACUAGUUUGAGGGAGGGAGUCUCUCCAUGGCUUUUUCCUAUAGAAUGUGUUAACAUCU